UCAGCCACUUGCAGUGACUUGAUAUGCAUUCAGGCGCGGCCGUAAACAAAGCCCUUAGGCUUAGCUGCACUUAUCCAACGCAAAAGAUCAGUAUAUGCCAGCUAGCAGGGCAACUUCCUUUUGGCCUGUUGCCAAGCCUUACUCGGUCAGCUCCCUUACACCCUGUUGUUAAUUUGAAAGCCAUAUGUUACAUACUUAAGGCAUGUAUUUAAGGUUUAAUUAGCAAAGAUUCUCUCCUGCUGUGUUCAAGCAUGACAAGUUAAGUCACCAGCUCGCACCGUCCCACAGGCACAGCAUUGUUGAUGUAACUAGCUAAAACAUGUGGGAGGUGCAUUAGUCUCAACCGCAGGCGCGGCGGCGGCCAUACUCCACCCCCUGUCUUUGCACUGGUGCCGAUAUGCAUGUGACCGACUACCAAACCAGUUGGCACAGUUGGUGCAGUGAAAAGGCUGGGAGGAGUCCGGAGCUACAUCCGGUCUGUAAAUGAUCUUUCGUGGUUUGGAUGCCACCUCCAGCGCAUUCAAUGACAUGGCAAACUGGCUAAUGUGACCAGUAAGAAUGAUCACAAUGUGUAGGAAUACCAGAACAUUCACGUUUGUAUCAAUCGUCGAGCUUCUAAUGCUUCUACACAAGCAAGCAUUUGGUCCCGCCAUGACAAAAGAGCAUCCUAUUCUAUGGCAGGUUCUGGCAAGGAUUUAAAUGAUGCAAUCAACAAAGUUCGAUAGCCACGAAACAACUUCCCAAUAUUGAAUUUGCAGCCAUGUGAACUUUAUACCAUGCUGUACACUUCCGGACCAGGGUCCGGAAUUGUACGGCUUUUCCCCUCUUGCUGCCCAGAAGUCAUGUGAACGUGGACAAUUUGCAACACCAAUAAGAAACGUCACUGUGUUUAGCACUAUGUGAUUGCUGUGCAAAUUGCACCAUCUGGUACCUCCCAGCCCCACCUUCGUCGCUGCCGCUACUCCGUUGCUAAUUCCCGCCGCCGCCACACCUGCCAUUUAGGCUACUGCACCUCCCAGCCCCAACGCCGUCGCUGCCGCUGCUACUCCGUUGCUAAUUCCCACCGCUGCCGUGCCUGCUGUUGAGAGUUAUGGCCCUCCCAGCCCCACCUUCGUCGCUGCCGCUGCUGCUGUGUUGCUAAUUCCCGCCGCCGCCACGCCUGCCGUUUAGGCUACUGCACCUCCCAACCCCACCACCGUCGCUGCCACUGCUCCUGCGUUGCUAAUUCCCACCGCCGCCGCGCCUGCCAUUUAGGCUACUGCACCUCCCAGCCCCACUGCCGUCGCUUCUGCUGCUGCUGUGUUGCUACUUCCCGCCGCCGCCAUGCCUGCCGUUUAGGCUACUGCACCUGCCAACCCCACUGCCAUCGCUGCCACUGCUGCUGUGUUGCUAAUUCCCGCCACCGCCGUGCCUGCCAUUUAGGCUACUGCACCUCCCAGCCCCACUGCCGUCGCUUCUGCUGCUGCUGUGUUGCUAUUUCCCGCCGCCGCCAUGCCUGCCGUUUAGGCUACUGCACCUCCCAACCCCACUGCCGUCGCUGCCACUGCUGCUGUGUUGCUAAUUCCCGCUGCCGCCGCGCCUGCUGUUUAGGCUACUGUACCUCCCAACCCCACUGCCGUCGCUGCCACUGCUGCUGCGUUGCUAAUUCCUGCCGCCGCCGUGCCUGCCAUUUAGGCUACUGCACCUCCCAGCCCCAACACCGUCGCUGCCGCUGCUGCAGUGUUGCUAAUUCCCGCCGCCGCCACACCUGCCGUUUAGGCUACUGCACCUCCCAGCCCCAACACCGUCGCUGCCGCUGCUACUCCGUUGCUAAUUCCCACCGCUGCCGUGCCUGCUGUUGAGAGUAAUGGCCCUCCCAGCCCCACCUUCGUCGCUGCUGCUGCUGUGUUGCUAAUUCCCGCCGCCGCCACGCCUGCCAUUUAGGCUACUUCACCUCCCAGCCUUAACACCAUCGCUGCCGCUGCUGCUGCAUUGCUAUUUACUGCCACCGCCACGCCUGCCAUUUAGGCUACUGCACCUCCCAGCCCCACCUUCGUCGCGGCCGCUGCUACUCCUUUGCUAAAUCCUGCCGCCGCCACGCCUGCUGCUGUUGCUAUUUCCCGCCGCUGCCGUGCCUGCCGGUUAGGGUACUGCACCUCCCAGCCCCACCACUGUUGCUGCCGCUGCUACUCCGUUGCUAAUUCCCGCCGCCGCCGCGCCUGCUGCUGUUGCUAUUUCCCGCCGCCGCCAUGCCUGCCAUUUAGGCUACUGCACCUCCCAGCCCCACUGCCGUCGCUUCUGCUGCUGCUGUGUUGCUAUUUCCCGCUGCCGCCAUGCCUGCCGUUUAGGCUACUGCACCUCCCAACCCCACUGCCGUCGCUGCCGCUGCUACUCCGUUGCUAAUUCCCGCCGCCGCCACACCUGCCAUUUAGGCUACUGCACCUCCCAGCCCCAACGCCGUCGCUGCCGCUGCUGCUGUGUUGCUAAUUCCCGCCGCCGCCACGCCUGCCGUUUAGGCUACUUCACCUCCCAACCUUAACACCAUCGCUGCCGCUGCUGCUGCAUUGCUAUUUCCUGCCACCGCCACGCCUGCCAUUUAGGCUACUGCACCUCCCAGCCCCACCUUCGUCGCGGCCGCUGCUACUCCUUUGCUAAAUCCUGCCGCCGCCACGCCUGCUGCUGUUGCUAUUUCCCGCCGCUGCCGUGCCUGCCGUUUAGGCUACUGCACCUCCCAGCCCCACCACCGUUGCUGCCGCUGCUACUCCGUUGCUAAUUCCCGCCGCCGCCGCGCCUGCUGCUGUUGCUAUUUCCCGCCGCCGCCAUGCCUGCCAUUUAGGCUACUGCACCUCCCAGCCCCACUGCCGUCGCUUCUGCUGCUGCUGUGUUGCUAUUUCCCGCCGCCGCCAUGCCUGCCGUUUAGGCUACUGCACCUCCCAACCCCACUGCCGUCGC
rnacentral:lncRNA from 1 species